GCGACUGUUCGAGCUGGACGGAAUAGAUCCGAUCCAUCCGUAUCGUUGCUAUUCCGACCCAAACAGCGUUCGACUUACAGCAUUCGAAAAAUCAGUAGACCAGAGUUUCUGCACCAUCUAAAGAGAGACUUUUUAUUGAGAUCUCACUUCCUUGAUUUUGAGAACAAGCUGGAGCAUGAAGAACAUCAGGCUGCUUUAAUGAACAGUGGAGAAGUGCUGUGUUUGUGCAGGAUGUGUUCUUCUCAAAGUAGACAUUAAUCGUAGUAAAUUUUUGCUACAAGGCCAAUGGACAUACAUGCAAUCAAAUUAUUUUACACAAAGCCCUAGAUUGCUUCCUUAACCGUAUGGAUGUCUGGAUUCUUCAGUGAAGCUUGUUGGACCUUCUUUUAUGGAAAGGGAACAUAGCACGCUCCUUGCAUGCAUUAUAUCCCAGGCACAACCACGAAAGGACCUCAAAGGACAUGGCUCCCAGAGACCGAACAUCAGAAAUAGAUGGAAUGAUUUCAAAAUUGGAGGUGACUUGCCCAGACCAUGGUCUCCUGACAGCAAUUUUUAUCUACAUUAUGAUUUCCCUGUUGUUUAAUUAAGGUAUAUACUUAAUAAAUGCAAAACAAGGUAUGUGGUAUGGGAGGUCUGUAUUUUGGAUACUUUUCAUAACUUUUAAUCUUUAAUGUUUAGUCUCCAUUAUCAGUUAACCUAUAUUUUUGAGCAUUUAUGU